AAAACUUUAAGUUAUAUAAACUAAAAACCUUCAAAGUUUUCAAAAGAUAUUAUCUAAGUUUUG
rnacentral:tRNA from 1 species